CUGAAUAGUAAAUCUUGUGUGCGGAAGUUCCGUCAGAACCCACCCAGAGUUCAUAAAUAGUGGCAUCUGCAAGCCAUGAAUCAACCAUAGCCUUUGCUGAUAUCCAUUCAGGUAUACCACGGACUUGAGAGUCCAAAUCAACAAAACCAUCUUCGCUUAAACUGCGGAUAACUCCACCCUUCUCAUUGUUGUAGGCUACGUAUGUACCAGAUUCGACAUAAGGUAUUUGAUCAGAAUCAGGGUUAUUGAGAUUGAAAUCCAAAUCAAAUGGAGUCGCGGAGAAUUUGAGGUAAACGUAAACAGGUAAACAGUUAGGGCAAGAAGUGGGUAGUCCGAAACAGGAUUUUCGGGUCACAAGUGUCAG
rnacentral:misc_RNA from 1 species